AACCUUACCAGGACUUGACAUCCCAUAGACCAGUCUAGAGAUAGACUUUCCCUUCGGGGCUGUGGUGACAGGUGGUGCAUGGUUGUCGUCAGCUCGUGUCGUGAGAUGUUGGGUUAAGUCCCGCAACGAGCGCAACCCUUACUUUUGUGUUGCCAGCAUUCAGUUGGGCACUCACAAGGGACUGCCGCCGAUAAGGCGGAGGAAGGUGGGGAUGACGUCAAAUCAUCAUGCCCCUUAUGUCCUGGGCUACACACGUGCUACAAUGGGCGGUACAACGGGAUGCGAAGCCGCGAGGUGGAGCCAAACCCUGAAAACCGUUCGUAGUUCGGAUUGUAGGCUGCAACUCGCCUACAUGAAGCCGGAAUUGCUAGUAAUCGCGGAUCAGCAUGCCGCGGUCGAAUCCGUUCCCGGGCCUUGUACACACCGCCCGUCACACCACGAGAAUGGGCAACACCCGAAGUCGGUGGGGUAACCUUUACGGGAGCUAGCCGCCGAAGGUGGGGCCUGUGAUUGGGGUGAAGUCGUAACAAGGUAGGCGUAGCGAG
rnacentral:rRNA from 1 species